UAUCAAAAUUUUUAAUUCUUAAACGUCCAAAAAAUAUAUUAAAAUCAAGAAAAAGAAAUAAAACCAAAUCAAAAAAUUCCUGAAUCGCACUCGUCACCUUAGAAAAUCUAUAUAAAUAAAAUGUCAAUAUUUCACAUUUUUUCGUAACAGCCCGAAAAAUAUCAAAAAAUUUAAUUCGUAAACGUCAAAAAAAUAUAAAAAAUAAGAAAAUGACAUAAAAACACCUCAAAUAUUCUCGAAUAACACCCGUCACCUUAGAAUAACGAUAAGUAUAAAAUAUAAAAAAAAUCACAUUUUUCGUAACAGCCCAAAAAAUAUCAAGAGCUUUAAUUCAUAAACAUCCGAAAAAUAUAAGAAUCAAGAAAAACAUAUAAAAACACCUCAAGCAAUUCCCAAAUCUCACCAGUCACCAUAGAAUAUCGAUACGAAUAAAGUAACAAAAUUUCACAUUUUUUCUUGACUACCUGAAAAAAUAUCAAAUUUUUUUAUUUGUAAACAUCCCAAAAAUAUAAAAUCAAGAAAAAGACAGAAAAACACCUCAAAAAAUUCUAAAUCACACCAGUCACCUUAGAAUAUCGAUUUGAAUAGAAUAUAAAAAUUUCACAUUUUUUCGUGACUGCCCAAAAAUAUCAAAAAAUUAAUUCGUAAACGUCCAAAAAAUAUAAAAUACAUAAAAACACUUCAAAAAAUUCAUGUAUCGCACCUGUCACCCUAGAAUAUCAAUACGAAUAAAAUAUCAAAAAUUCACAUUUUUACGUUACUACCCAAAAAAUUUCAAAAUCAAGAAAAAGACAUAAAAAUACCUCAAAAAAAUCCCGAAUCGACCAGUCACUACACAAUAUUGAUAUGAAUAAAACAUCAAAAAUUAACAUAUUUUCGUGACUGCCUAAAAAAUAUAAAAAAUUUAAUUCGUAAACGUCCGAAAAGUAUAAAUAUCAAGAAAAAUACAUAAAAAAUUCUCAAAUCGCACCUGCCACCUUAGAAUAUCGAUACGAAUAAAAUAUCAAAAUUUCACAUUUUUUCGUGACUGACUGAAAAAUAUCAAAUAUUUUAAUUCUUAAACGUCCAAAAAAUAUAUUAAAAUCAAGAAAAGGACAUAAAAGCACAUCAAAAAAAUUCUGAAUCGCACCAGUCACCUUAGAAUAUCUAUAUGAAUAAAAUAUCAAAAUUUAACAUUUUUUCGUGACAGUAUUAAAAAUAUCAAAAAAUUUAAUUCCUUAACGUCAGAAAAAUAUAAAAACCAAGAAAAAGACAUAAAAACACCUCAAAAAUUCUCGAAUAGCACCAUUCACCUUAGAUUAUCGAUAAGAAUAAAAUAUAAAAAACUUCACAUUUUAUCGUAACAGCCCGAAAAAUAUAAAAAGCUUUAAUUCGUAAACGUCCGAAUAGUAUAAGAAUCAAGAAAAAGAAAUAAAAACACCUCAAAAAAUUCCCGAAUUGCACCAGUCACCAUAGAGUAUCGAUACGAAUAAAAUAUCAAAAUUUCACAUGUUUUCGUGACUGCAUGAAAAAAUAUCAAUUUUUUUUAUUCGUAAACAUCCCAAAAAUAUAAAAAUCAAGAAAAAGACAGAAAAACACC
rnacentral:lncRNA from 1 species